GACGUAGGUGGCGAACGUUAUCCGGAAUUAUUGGGCGUAAAGGGUGCGUAGAUGGCCUGAUAAGUUAGCAGUGGGAAAUCGAGGCUCAACCUCGUGGAAGCUGGUAAUACUGUCAGGCUCGAGUGCAGGAGAGGUUAACGGAACUCCAUGUGGAGCGGUAAAAUGUGUAGAUAUAUGGAAGAACACCAAUAACGGCGAAGGCAGUUAACGUAUUCUGUUACUGACAUUGAGGCACGAAAGCGUGGGGAGCAAAACGG
rnacentral:rRNA from 1 species